AUUUAUAUAGUAUAAUUUAUUAUUAUUGAUUUCCAAUCAAAAGAUCUAAAAAAAAAUUUAGUAUAAAUA
rnacentral:tRNA from 1 species